rnacentral:ncRNA from 1 species
UCGUCAGCUCGUGCCGUAAGGUGUUGGGUUAAGUCCCGCAACGAGCGCAACCCUCGUGUUUAGUUGCCACUGUUGAGUUUGGAACCCUGAACAGAUUGCCGGUGAUAAGCCGGAGGAAGGUGAGGAUGACGU